UACGUAGGGGGCAAGCGUUGUCCGGAAUCACUGGGCGUAAAGCGCGCGCAGGCGGCUAUCUACGUCCGGGGUGAAAGCCCAGAGCUCAACUCUGGGAUUGCCUUGGAUACGGGAUGGCUUGAGGAUCGGGGAGGCAAGGGGAAUUCCACGUGUAGCGGUGAAAUGCGUAGAGAUGUGGAGGAACACCUGUGGCGAAGGCGCCUUGCUGGCCGAUUUCUGACGCUGAGGCGCGAAAGCGUGGGGAGCAAACAGG
rnacentral:rRNA from 1 species